rnacentral:rRNA from 1 species
AUUGAACGCUGGCGGCAGGCCUAACACAUGCAAGUCGAACGAGCGGCGGACGGGCGAUCAAUGCAUGUGAAUCUAGCUUAUGGAUGGGUACAACUACGGGAAACUGAUGCCACUACCGCGUACCAUAGGCUGUGUCCAAGUGGGAUUAGGUAGUUGGUAAGGUAAAGGCUCACCAAGCCGACGAUCUCUAGCUGGUCUGAGAGGAUGACCAGCCACACUGGGACUGAGACACGGCCCAGACUCCGACGGGAGGCAGCAGUGGGGAAUAUUGCGCAAUGGGGGCAACCUGACGCAGCCAUGCCGCGUGAAUGAAGAAGGCCUUCGGGUUGUAAAGUUCUUUCGGUAGCGAGGCGUUAACUACAGAAUAAGCACCGGCUAACUCCGUGCCAGCAGCCGCGGUAAUUC